rnacentral:misc_RNA from 1 species
GAACGCACAUUGCGCCCGCCAGUAUUCUGGCGGGCAUGCCUGUCCGAGCGUCAUUUCAACCCUCGAACCCCUCCGGGGGGUCGGCGUUGGGGAUCGGCCCUUUACGGGGCCGGCCCCGAAAUACAGUGGCGGUCUCGCCGCAGCCUCUCCUGCGCAGUAGUUUGCACACUCGCAUCGGGAGCGCGGCGCGUCCAAUGCCGUAAAACACCCAACUUUCUGAAAUGUUGACCUCGGAUCAGGUAGGAAUACCCGCUGAACUUA